rnacentral:rRNA from 1 species
GGUCGACGAUUCCUACGGGAGGCAGCAGUGGGGAAUAUUGCGCAAUGGGCGAAAGCCUGACGCAGCAACGCCGCGUGUGUGAUGAAGGCUCUCGGGUCGUAAAGCACUGUCAGAAGGGAAGAAACAAAUGACGGUACCUUCAAAGGAAGCACCGGCUAACUCCGUGCCAGCAGCCGCGGUAAUACGGAGGGUGCAAGCGUUGUUCGGAAUCAUUGGGCGUAAAGCGCGCGCAGGCGGCUUGCCAAGUCUGAUGUGAAAUCCCGGGGCUCAACCUCGGAACUGCAUUGGAAACUGGUAGGCUUGAGUAUGUGAGGGGUUAGUGGAAUUCCUGGUGUAGGGGUGAAAUCCGUAGAGAUCAGGAGGAACACCGGUGGCGAAGGCGACUGACUGGAACAUAACUGACGCUGAGGCGCGAAAGCGUGGGUAGCAAACAGGAUUAGAUACCCUGGUAGUCCACGCUGUAAACGAUGUUCACUAGCUGCUGUGCCCAUAGUUUGGCGCAGUGGCGAAGCUAACGCAUUAAGUGAACCGCCUGGGGAGUACGGUCGCAAGAUUAAAACUCAAAGGAAUUGACGGAAUCUCUAGA